CAGUCUUUUUUUUCACCCUUUACAAUUGCUCAGAGGUUGAGCUAAGGAUUUUAGGUAGGAAGGUUUCUGGGGGGCGAAUCAGGAACAAAAAAGGGUUCGAAUUUGCCAGGUAGACUUUUCCGAGGUGGGGAAAAUGCUUUUCAAUGAUUUUUGGCUUUGAAAUGUUGGAGCUCGACGAGGUUACAGGCAGAUGCUCUGCAGGACCUUACUGUUUGACAUGCAGAGUAAUGUGUCCUGUUCCCUUCCAGUAUUAUAGCUUGUGAAGUAUGCAGAUUAUCACUAGCAAUUGUUUGUUGGAAAGUUAAUUCCCUGGAUGGAGGGAUUCCGAGAACCAGGGUGCUGGAACAAGGGAAUCAUGGAGCAUUCUGUCGACUCUACUUUAGCAGCACAUAAAUAUUGGCAGGUUCCAAUACUGUUUUGCCAAUAUUGCGUGUGCUGCUCCAAUAUGGCUCGACGCUUGCAGCAAAUUGCAGGAGCACAUGGUAACUUUGAAGACCCUGUUGUGUAAGAAUCAUUGUCCUGGUUUGUUUGCACCAUGUUGAAUUCCAAAUGUGAAAAAAAUAAAAGCAAAAGAACUCCAUUAGCA